ACAAAACACCAGAAGCAUUUUUCCAUCUCAGGAAAUGCGCUUUCUGUACUACACCUGUCAUAUGUUUUAAGGAACAGAAUUGCUCAGCUUCAAACCGUUUCAUAUCUUGUCAAAGCUUUAUGCAGUGUGGGAGCCAGAUAGGAAGGACUCAUUUGUACAGAUGUGCUUACCCAUCAACCGAACACAAAACACCAGAAGCACUUUUUCCGUUUCUUUUGUGUUUCACUUAUCUGAAGGACAGAGUGCUUUCAUUCAUUGGUUUACUACCUAAAUUACCCCCACACAACUGGGCAUGGGCCAGGGUGAAGCCAGUAGCCAGGACCU